rnacentral:rRNA from 1 species
UAAUUGAAGAGUUUGAUCAUGGCUCAGAUUGAACGCUGGCGGCAGGCCUAACACAUGCAAGUCGAACGG